rnacentral:RNase_P_RNA from 1 species
UCUGGGCAAACGCUGAGUAUAUAUACUUAGAGGAAAGUCCACACUCGCACAAUCUGCGAUGAUUGUAGUGUUUGCGCAUAGGGAAAAAAUAACCUAUGGCAGGUUUAUACCUGACGGCAUUUAUCUAAUCUAAGGAAAUUCUAUGAUUAGAUAAUAUAAAGUGCCACAGUGACGAAUCUAUUUAGAAAUGAAUAGAGUGAAACGCGGUAAACCCCACAAGCGAGAAACCCAAAUUAUGGUAGGGGAACUAUUCUUAAGAGAAUCAAAUCUAUAAGAUGGAUAGCAUAUGCUAUAGAUAAAUGUUUGCCACCGGUCUUCCGGUACAGAAUGUGGCUUAUAA